CCCUUCAACUUUUAAUUUCUAUAGUCAAAUCUUGGCUUUUACGUUUUCAAAACCCCAAACACGUCCCCACCUUAGCCUCUCUCACCAUUAUUUCGUCAACACCACCUUGUAUAUAUAUUUGCAUUCUCUCAGAGAACUUAAAACAAACACUUGUAGGUAUCUAUCAAUAAGAGUUUUAAGAACUCUCGAUCUCUCUCUUUCUCACCAUUAUUGGGUCAUUCUUUGUUGCUUCUAAAUCAGGAAGGAACGAGAUGGUUAGGUAUCGUUCUCUUGUGUUGAGUUUGAAUGCCAUUUCCAUCUUCUUCUUGUUGUUUUUGUUCUUCGCGUGUCAGCAAUCCAUGCAAGUUGAAGCCUUUCGGGCGCUGGAAGAUGAGCAAACUCCUGCAUUGAUGAAGGGUUUCAGAAUCAGCCAAGCUUACUCUGGUCCUAGCCGUCAUGGGCGUGGUCACUGAUCUACAAUUUUAUAUUCAUAUAGCCCAUUGUAUAAUCAUUUUUCUUUUUAUUUUUAUCUCUUCUUUAUUGUUCUUUUAAUAUUUUUGAAAAUGAGGGAAAAUUAAUUUAUAGGACAAACAAGAAGUAGUUUGUCAAUUUUAUUUUUGAA
rnacentral:lncRNA from 1 species